GAUGAACGCUGGCGGCGUGCCUAAUACAUGCAAGUCGAGCGAACGGACGAGAAGCUUGCUUCUCUGAUGUUAGCGGCGGACGGGUGAGUAACACGUGGAUAACCUACCUAUAAGACUGGGAUAACUUCGGGAAACCGGAGCUAAUACCGGAUAAUAUUUUGAACCGCAUGGUUCAAAAGUGAAAGACGGUCUUGCUGUCACUUAUAGAUGGAUCCGCGCUGCAUUAGCUAGUUGGUAAGGUAACGGCUUACCAAGGCAACGAUGCAUAGCCGACCUGAGAGGGUGAUCGGCCACACUGGAAGUGAGACACGGUCCAGACGCCUACGGGAGGCAGCAGUAGGGAAUCUUCCGCAAUGGGCGAAAGCCUGACGGAGCAACGCCGCGUGAGUGAUGAAGGUCUUCGGAUCGUAAAACUCUGUUAUUAGGGAAGAACAUAUGUGUAAGUAACUGUGCACAUCUUGACGGUACCUAAUCAGAAAGCCACGGCUAACUACGUG
rnacentral:rRNA from 1 species